CCUUCUCUUUUGGCAGAGUGAAAUAUAUUCAGAGAGCUUUACAAAACAAAGCUUUCAGCUCUGAGUCAGCAACAAACUCAUCUUUGUUCGCGUGGUUCUAUUAAGGAAAGAAGGCCAAUUUUCUGCAGGUUUCUAUGGCUGGCUUCACAAAGGCAUCUCUCUGUAUGCAAGCUCUCUGGCAGGAACAGCCGACUCUGAGAUCAUCGUUUUCCAUAAUGACCAGCUGCAAUGAUCGGAGAAAGAAAAUCAUAAACUGGUUUAUAGAGUGAUCUUCCUAAGGAGUCUGAAAUAUUGAUUCAUUCAUGGGGAGACACUAAAUAAAGGCAGCUCAUUGGUUGGGUUCACAUGCACAGCCCAAGGCCUCCUCUGCCUUUUCCUUUAUCUCCAAACACACUUGGUUGGAUAGUCACGUCAUUUGUCUUGAGGAGGAAGUGAAGCUCAUUUGCAUUUCCCUGGGUUUCCCAGGACAUUCCCAGGAAUUCUUGUCCUUCAUUCGAUGGUGUUUUCCUGUGUUUGGGAUCACAGUAAAUGAUAAUCUCACAUUGUGUCUCCAGGAACUGAACUUUUGUUUAACCCUAUCGCUAGAGCCCCAUGAAGGUCGCCAGGUGGCCCACAGGGAGAUGGCUUAAGAUGUCUAGGACAUGUGGCAAACGUUCAGAGUAAACAGAACGGCCUCAUAUUCCUGAAGCAAGAUUUUUUUAAAAAAACAUCAACCUUAGCCUCUUUGGCAUGAGGUUUAGCAGAGUCUGGAGACAGGGAACUGUGUAGAGCAAUCUGUGCUGGUGCUGCUUCCGUAAACAUGUCCUACCGGCAGCUUUUUACAUAUUUUGAUUUAAAAGAAAAUUUCCAGGAUGAUGGAAAUUAGAGUGGGGAAUACUGGUUAACAGAAUGAAGUUGUGUUUUAACUGUAACACUCCUCAGAAUCUAAAUAUGCUAAUAAACCUUGUCAUCUCCUGAGUUAGAUGCCUUCUUCUCCCCUGUCCCCAUAGGAAAAUCCACUUAAACUACCACCCCAAAGAUUGUACUUUGGGGGAAAUGCUGGCCAAAUCUAGUGGGAAGAUUGAUGACCUAAGGCUUCAAAAGCUUAGGCUGUCCUAGAUGAAGUUUAUAAGAGGAACUGCAGACCUUUGUUUUAAUAUGGGUGUAUUAAAAUUUUAUAGUCAGAUGUUAUCUGAAACUAGUUAUUCAGAAAUCAGUUACAGGGUGAAAUAAGAGAGCACUGUACCUUUUCCCCCUUCAUAUGCUAUUUUUUGACAGGUAGAGCCUUAGGCGGUCUCUACUGGUUUAUGGAUAUACUGGUUGUGCGACUCUCACGUAGCAUAAUCUUACUAUUCCACUGUUUUUAUCAUGAUAUGUUACAAAAGAGAAGCCAGGGCUGUGUAAGGACAUGAAACCUAGGAGGGACUGUGUUGCUCCUUCUCAGUUCAUGGCUACCAGUUAGAGAUUCCAGAAAAUAUAUUCUUAUUAUGUUAAAGUGUGAUGUAUUUUUUGUUAUGGUAUGAGAACUGUUAGCAAAGACUUUUUUAAAAUGCUUUUUAGGGCUGCACCUGCAUUUGUGACAUAUGGAAAUUCCCAGUCGAAUUGGAGCUGCAGUUUCUGGCCUAUGCCACAGCCAUAGAAAUGAGGGAUCUGAAGUUCCUGUCAUAGCUCAGUGAUUAAUGAACCCAACUACUACCCAUGCGGGCUCGAGUUUUA
rnacentral:lncRNA from 1 species